GUCCCUGUAGCGCAAAUGACAUCGCGUUGGACUUCUAAUCCAAAGGUCGUGGGGCAAUUACCACCUGGAAUG